GAUGAACGCUCGUGGGAGGCCUAACACAUGCAAGCCGAGCGGUAUUGUUUCUUCGGAAAUGAGAGAGCGGCGUACGGGUGCGGAACACGUGUGCAACCUGCCUUUAUCUGGGGGAUAGCCUUUCGAAAGGAAGAUUAAUACUCCAUAACAUAUUGAUUGGCAUCAAUUAAUAUUGAAAGCUCCGGCGGAUAGAGAUGGGCACGCGCAAGAUUAGCUAGUUGGUGAGGUAACGGCUCACCAAGGCGAUAAUCUUUAGGGGGCCUGAGAGGGUGAUCCCCUACACUGGUACUGAGACACGGACCAGACUCCUACGGGAGGCAGCAGUGAGGAAUAUUGGUCAAUGGGUGCAAGCCUGAACCAGCCAUCCCGCGUGAAGGACGACUGCCCUAUGGGUUGUAAACUUCUUUUGUAUAGGGAUAAACCUACCCUCGUGAGGGUAGCUGAAGGUACUAUACGAAUAAGCACCGGCUAACUCCGUGCCAGCAGCCGCGGUAAUACGGAGGGUGCAAGCGUUAUCCGGAUUUAUUGGGUUUAAAGGGUCCGUAGGCGGACUUAUAAGUCAGUGGUGAAAGCCUGUCGCUUAACGAUAGAACUGCCAUUGAUACUGUAAGUCUUGAGUAUAUUUGAGGUAGCUGGAAUAAGUAGUGUAGCGGUGAAAUGCAUAGAUAUUACUUAGAACACCAAUUGCGAAGGCAGGUUACCAAGAUAUAACUGACGCUGAGGGACGAAAGCGUGGGGAGCGAACAGGAUUAGAUACCCUGGUAGUCCACGCCGUAAACGAUGCUAACUCGUUUUUGGGCUUUAGGGUUCAGAGACCAAGCGAAAGUGAUAAGUUAGCCACCUGGGGAGUACGCUCGCAAGAGUGAAACCCAAAGGAAUUGACGGGGGCCCGCACAAGCGGUGGAUUAUGUGGUUUAAUUCGAUGAUACGCGAGGAACCUUACCAAGACUUAAAUGGGAAUUGACAGCUUUAGAAAUAGAGCUUUCUUCGGACAAUUUUCAAGGUGCUGCAUGGUUGUCGUCAGCUCGUGCCGUGAGGUGUUAGGUUAAGUCCUGCAACGAGCGCAACCCCUGUCACUAGUUGCCAUCAUUCAGUUGGGGACUCUAGUGAGACUGCCUACGCAAGUAGAGAGGAAGGUGGGGAUGACGUCAAAUCAUCACGGCCCUUACGUCUUGGGCCACACACGUAAUACUAUGGCCGGUACAGAGGGCAGCUACACAGCGAUGUGAUGCAAAUCUCGAAAGCCGGUCUCAGUUCGGAUUGGAGUCUGCAACUCGACUCUAUGAAGCUGGAAUCGCUAGUAAUCGCGCAUCAGCCAUGGCGCGGUGAAUACGUUCCCGGGCCU
rnacentral:rRNA from 1 species